UUACCAACCCGAUGCAAACUGCGAAUACCGGAGAAUGUUAUCACGGGAGACACACGGCGGGUGCUAACGUCCGUCGUGAAGAGGGAAACAACCCAGACCGCCAGCUAAGGUCCCAAAGUCAUGGUUAAGUGGGAAACGAUGUGGGAAGGCCCAGACAGCCAGGAUGUUGGCUUAGAAGCAGCCAUCAUUUAAAGAAAGCGUAAUAGCUCACUGGUCGAGUCGGCCUGCGCGGAAGAUGUAACGGGGCUAAACCAUGCACCGAAGCUGCGGCAGCGACGCUUAUGCGUUGUUGGGUAGGGGAGCGUUCUGUAAGCCUGCGAAGGUGUGCUGUGAGGCAUGCUGGAGGUAUCAGAAGUGCGAAUGCUGACAUAAGUAACGAUAAAGCGGGUGAAAAGCCCGCUCGCCGGAAGACCAAGGGUUCCUGUCCAACGUUAAUCGGGGCAGGGUGAGUCGACCCCUAAGGCGAGGCCGAAAGGCGUAGUCGAUGGGAAACAGGUUAAUAUUCCUGUACUUGGUGUUACUGCGAAGGGGGGACGGAGAAGGCUAUGUUGGCCGGGCGACGGUUGUCCCGGUUUAAGCGUGUAGGCUGGUUUUCCAGGCAAAUCCGGAAAAUCAAGGCUGAGGCGUGAUGACGAGGCACUACGGUGCUGAAGCAACAAAUGCCCUGCUUCCAGGAAAAGCCUCUAAGCAUCAGGUAACAUCAAAUCGUACCCCAAACCGACACAGGUGGUCAGGUAGAGAAUACCAAGGCGCUUGAGAGAACUCGGGUGAAGGAACUAGGCAAAAUGGUGCCGUAACUUCGGGAGAAGGCACGCUGAUAUGUAGGUGAAGUCCCUUGCGGAUGGAGCUGAAAUCAGUCGAAGAUACCAGCUGGCUGCAACUGUUUAUUAAAAACACAGCACUGUGCAAACACGAAAGUGGACGUAUACGGUGUGACGCCUGCCCGGUGCCGGAAGGUUAAUUGAUGGGGUCAGCGCAAGCGAAGCUCUUGAUCGAAGCCCCGGUAAACGGCGGCCGUAACUAUAACGGUCCUAAGGUAGCGAAAUUCCUUGUCGGGUAAGUUCCGACCUGCACGAAUGGCGUAAUGAUGGCCAGGCUGUCUCCACCCGAGACUCAGUGAAAUUGAACUCGCUGUGAAGAUGCAGUGUACCCGCGGCAAGACGGAAAGACCCCGUGAACCUUUACUAUAGCUUGACACUGAACAUUGAGCCUUGAUGUGUAGGAUAGGUGGGAGGCUUUGAAGUGUGGACGCCAGUCUGCAUGGAGCCGGCCUUGAAAUACCACCCUUUAAUGUUUGAUGUUCUAACGUGGACCCGUGAUCCGGGUUGCGGACAGUGUCUGGUGGGUAGUUUGACUGGGGCGGUCUCCUCCUAAAGAGUAACGGAGGAGCACGAAGGUUGGCUAAUCCUGGUCGGACAUCAGGAGGUUAGUGCAAUGGCAUAAGCCAGCUUGACUGCGAGCGUGACGGCGCGAGCAGGUGCGAAAGCAGGUCAUAGUGAUCCGGUGGUUCUGAAUGGAAGGGCCAUCGCUCAACGGAUAAAAGGUACUCCGGGGAUAACAGGCUGAUACCGCCCAAGAGUUCAUAUCGACGGCGGUGUUUGGCACCUCGAUGUCGGCUCAUCACAUCCUGGGGCUGAAGUAGGUCCCAAGGGUAUGGCUGUUCGCCAUUUAAAGUGGUACGCGAGCUGGGUUUAGAACGUCGUGAGACAGUUCGGUCCCUAUCUGCCGUGGGCGCUGGAGAACUGAGGGGGGCUGCUCCUAGUACGAGAGGACCGGAGUGGACGCAUCACUGGUGUUCGGGUUGUCAUGCCAAUGGCACUGCCCGGUAGCUAAAUGCGGAAGAGAUAAGUGCUGAAAGCAUCUAAGCACGAAACUUGCCCCGAGAUGAGUUCUCCCUGACCCUUUAAGGGUCCUGAAGGAACGUUGAAGACGACGACGUUGAUAGGCCGGGUGUGUAAGCGCAGCGAUGCGUUGAGCUAACCGGUACUAAUGAACCGUGAG
rnacentral:rRNA from 1 species